CACACCGGAACUGAGACACGGUCCGGACUCCUACGGGAGGCAGCAGUGGGGAAUAUUGGACAAUGGGGGAAACCCUGAUCCAGCAAUGCCGCGUGUGUGAAGAAGGCCUGCGGGUUGUAAAGCACUUUCGGUGGGGACAAAAAGCGCCGUGUUAACACCACGGUUUUUGAUUUAACCCAUAGAAGAAGCACCGGCUAACUCUGUGCCAGCCGCCGCCGUAACAC
rnacentral:rRNA from 1 species